CGCCGCCGACGACGUCGCGAGAAGUCCACUGAACCUUAUCAUUUAGAGGAAGGAGAAGUCGUAACAAGGUUUCCGUAGGUGAACCUGCGGAAGGAUCAUUGUCGAUGCCUGCAAAGCAGAACGACCCGCGAACCGUUCCUCAACACUCGGGACGCCGGAUGGCGUUCGGCCGACCGGCAUCCCGACGCUCCGGACGCGGGGGGUGAGAUCCACCCUCGGCGGAUGGAGCAUCAAACACACCCCGGCGUGCAAAGCGCCAAGGUACUCCAACGGUAGGGCAAGCACCCGUCGGCCUGGGUUUCCAGCGCGGUCGGGUGUCUGUUCGGUGCAGUAAAUCUAAACGACUCUCGGCAACGGAUAUCUCGGCUCUCGCAUCGAUGAAGAACGUAGCGAAAUGCGAUACUUGGUGUGAAUUGCAGAAUCCCGUGAACCAUCGAGUCUUUGAACGCAAGUUGCGCCCGAAGCCUUGGCUGAGGGCACGCCUGCCUGGGUGUCACACGUCGCGUCGCCUCCGAAACCUUUCCCCUCGUAACAACGUGGCGAUGGUUCCGGAUGCGGAAGAUGGCCUCCCGUGACCACGAGCCACGGACGGCCCAAGUUUUGGCUGGGGAAGCGAAGCGCCACGGCUUUCGGUGGUCGGCACAGCCCCCGAGGCGAUGAACGAACGAAGCCCGUGGCUGCCGCGACGGUCCCCGGUCCACGACCCCAAUCGCUAACCAAAGCGACCUCAGGUCAGGCGGGGCUACCCGCUGAGUUUAAGCAUAUCAAUA
rnacentral:rRNA from 1 species